rnacentral:rRNA from 1 species
CUGACGUUAGCGGCGGACGGGUGAGUAACACGUGGGUAACCUACCUAUAAGACCGGGAUAACUCCGGGAAACCGGGGCUAAUACCGGAUAAUACAUGAAACCGCAUGGUUUCAUGAUGAAAGACGGUUUUGCUGUCACUUAUAGAUGGACCCGCGGCGUAUUAGCUAGUUGGUAAGGUAACGGCUUACCAAGGCAACGAUACGUAGCCGACCUGAGAGGGUGAUCGGCCACACUGUAACUGAUACACGGUCCAG